ensembl:lncRNA
GAAGGAUACAGGUAAAAUAAAAUCAGCUUGGGAAAAGGAACUAGGGUCAGAAAUUCAUAAUGAUAUCUGGACUAAAGGGCUACGCUAUGUUAAUUCCUGCUCUAUCAACGCCCGACACAGGUUAAUUCAGUUUAAAAUUUUGCACAGAUUGCACUACUCGAAGACCAGACUACAUCGAAUAUUUCCUGAAACGUCACCCAUCUGUGAUAAAUGUCAAUGUGCAGAAGCUGAUCUGCUUCACAGUUUUGUAAUGUGUAGCAAAUUACAAAGUUUUUGGGCUUCAGUUUUUUCUUUUUUUUCCAAACUUUUUGUUGUGCAGUUAGACCCUGACCCCAUUUUGAUUCUUAUUGGUCUAUCAGGACAAUCUAAAAAACUUAAGAGCACACAGAUCCCCCUCCUGUCCUAUGGCCUGAUGUGUGCAAAGAGACUGAUUCUCCUCCUAUGGAAGGGAAAAGAAGUGCCCUCCUUGAAAGCUUGGAUUUCAGUAUUGACAGACACUCUUCAUCUGGAAAGGAUCCGUUACAUUAUAAAUGACAAACUGGAGGACUUCGAUCAGAUUUGGAGGCCGUUCUUUGAGCACCUGGAAAUUAUGAACAAAUGAGAGUUAUUAUGUGGACUUCACCAUUGCUUAAAAUAAGCUGAUAGCACUCUGGGAUAAGGGAAGGGUGUAGGGAGGGUUUGUUUUUUUUUUUUGUUUUUUUUGGUUUUGUUUUUUUGUCCGCCCUUUUCAGUACGUUUUGUUUUUUCCUGUUUUUGUUGUUUGGGUUUGUUUUGUUUUUUGUUGCUGUUGUUGUUCGCUUUGUUUUUCCUUUUUUUUUUUUUUUGAUCUAUACUAUCAAUAAACAUAUCAGUCCAUUCAUCCAUUCCAGCUUGUCCUGUGUCCAUCCAUCCAUCCAUUUUCUUAACUGCUUGUCCAAGAGUUGGGGAGGGACUGGAGCCACUUUUACCAGCUGUUAUUGAUCAAAAGCAGACAUCCUUCUGAAUUUACUUAUUAUAGAUUCAGACAUGUAAUAGUACCUAAUGUUUCCACUUGCCUUCACCCCAUCUCCUCAUCAAAAAUACACACUUACUAAGAUUUAACGACUUCCCUAUUGUUUUAGGGGAUUUAGCAAAAUGUCUUUUUUUUAAUUUGAAGGCUUGAAAAAUACAUUAUAAAUUCACCAACUAACUAAAUAUAUAAGUUUAUUUAUAUGUUAAAAAUACAUAAAUAAAUCUGAAUAGGAAGUUACCAAUUUACAUCUAGCUUUAAGUGCUUGAAUCCUUACAGAUAAAGGGUUACUUUAUCUUCAGGUUUUGCUAUAUUUUAAUUAUUUCUGAAAUUUUAUAGCUUCCAUGUUAGCGGGGUUUCUUUCCUGCUGUUGCUGCCAUCUUGCAUGAGGCAGUUAAAGUCACUAGAGUGUAUUCUUCUGCCCAGCACGUUGCUCUUGACUACACUUUGCUGAUAAAAAAAAAAAGAAAAAAAGAAAGUAUCUUCGUUUGUGACAGUCUCUUCCUCUCUGCUGUGCAGUGUGUGUCCCGGUCUCUGCAUGAUGUAAUCUUUGGUGCUACCCACUGCUAAUUAUGUGAGAGUCGGCACAAGUUGUAGAGCAGAAUGCUUAUAGGUAAAGAGAUUGUAUGAUAAAGAGAAGUAGAUAAGCAUGGUGACGUAGAUACACACAGAGGUGUAUAGAUGAAUAAGUGCGCUGGCUGUGACAGAAUGUAUGCCCACAGUGUGUGAUUUUGCUGACAGCUCAGGAUCUUCUAAUAAGCGGUGGCCCUGUUUGACAGAGAGGGAGAGGAAGGGGGAGGGAGGAAGGGAAUAAAAGGCCUCUUUCACCUUUCUCACCUGCUGAAGUUCCCUCCUCGCUAACGCUUGGCUGCUCACUGAGGUGCUCUACUGCACACACAUG